rnacentral:rRNA from 1 species
GCGGAAGGCCCCUUCGGGGGUACUCGAGCGGCGAACGGGUGAGUAACACGUGAGCAACCUGCCCCUGACUCUGGGAUAAGCCCGGGAAACUGGGUCUAAUACCGGAUGUGACCAGCCUCCGCAUGGAGUGCUGGUGGAAAGUUUUUCGGUUGGGGAUGGGCUCGCGGCCUAUCAGCUUGUUGGUGGGGUGAUGGCCUACCAAGGCGACGACGGGUAACCGGCCUGAGAGGGCGACCGGUCACACUGGGACUGAGACACGGCCCAGACUCCUACGGGAGGCAGCAGUGGGGAAUAUUGCGCAAUGGGCGGAAGCCUGACGCAGCGACGCCGCGUGAGGGAUGACGGCCUUCGGGUUGUAAACCUCUUUCAGCAGGGACGAAGCUAACGUGACGGUACCUGCAGAAGAAGCGCCGGCUAACUACGUGCCAGCAGC